AAUAGUGUUCCUCGGCUGCUAACGUUCUACACCGUGGUGUUAGGCUCUGGAUCGAGAUGGAGAAUGUAAAUGCUGUGUUGUCGUUGAAGUAUGAAGGGGUACGCCGUUCGAGCUCUUGAAGUUUUGUUCUGUAGAAAUCAACAGCCAGUCGCUUUCGGAGCUACCAUCUCUCUCAAGCCUCAAGGAAGUUGUACUCCCAGGAAGUUCCCAUGCGGAUAUGUUCUUCAGCAGCCAGGAGCAAAACAAGCUUUCCAUCUUUAUGUAAUUCCAGAGCCCAACGAGUAGAUUAUCUAUGUAUUUUGCGACCAGCCUUGUGGUGUCCAAAAAGAUCUUCUGCAAAAACCACCAAGAUAGAGCAAGAACUGUGUGCUCUUAGAUUUUAGAGGUAUAAGUGGUAGUUCUGAACUUAAAACUGUGUUCUCACUUCCAACCAAAAGAAAAACACAUUUUGAUUUUGUUAGCAAGUUGAAGAUAUUCUCUUAGCGAGACAAAAAUAAUCGUCAGAUCUAGCACAAAAAAAUCCUUACUUUGACAAUUGUAGACUUCAGAAAGUAAAGUUCUCAAGUAUUGGUGGUAAAAUUAAGGAAAGUUAUGGA